AUGUUAUCUUUUUCUUCCAUUAGUCAGAUCGCUUCUUCUUCUCUACUUCUCCCCAACUCUUUUUUCUCCUUCCUUUACAUUUCUUCUUCCUGCACAACCCGCUAUGAUCCAGAGGGACCACUUUUUUUGCCCUGUCUCUGCAAAGGAGAUCCACAGUGCACUUUUUUAUACAUCUUUUAUUCCAUUCUGUUCUUCCUUUUUUUCUCGCCUUAUUUGUUUUUAUUUUUCUUUCUACGCCUUCAACCUUUACCUAUUGCCAGGUUCGAAGAGUUUCACUUGACAGGGGCGUCUGUUCCCCAGCCCCACAUUCACCGGGGGAACUCGAGAGCAGAUGACAUCCCUAGCUGUCAGUGUGCUGCCCCAGGUCUCCCCUCAGGGCGAUUCUGUUUCCCCCAGAGCAGGACAGAAGUGUUGAGGAAGUUGGUGGAAAGGAGAUUGCAGGAUGCUGCUGCCAGAGCCGGUGCAGCAGCCGUGCCCCGCCGAGCCCCGCAGCAGCCCAGGGGUGUGUAUGCAGCUGCCUGUCUGCACUUGAAAGAAGUCGUGGGGCUGUGUACACGGUUCCAUCCCAGGCUCUGGGCGUGCACCCUGCACUGGCCAGUGCUAAUAGGCUUUCAUCUCUGCCCAUUUUGUCAACAUCCUCCAGAAAACACGAGUCAACUGACAGAGUGACACUGUUGGAGGCCCGAAGAGACAGUCCUCCCCAAGGAUAUCUCUUCUCCUUGGAGACAUUUGGGCAGAGGAAUCACAUAUCAU
rnacentral:lncRNA from 1 species